rnacentral:rRNA from 1 species
UACAGAGGUCUCAAGCGUUGUUCGGAUUCAUUGGGCGUAAAGGGUGCGUAGGCGGCGCGGUAAGUCGGGUGUGAAAUCUCGGAGCUUAACUCCGAAACUGCACCCGAUACUGCCUUGCUAGAGUACUGGAGAGGAGAUUGGAAUUUACGAUGUAGCAGUGAAAUGCGUAGAUAUCGUAAGGAAGACCAGUGGCGAAGGCGAAUCUCUGGACAGUUACUGACACUGAGGCUCGAAGGCCAGGGGAGCAAACGGG